GAUGAACGUUGGCGGUGUGCCUAAUACAUGCAAGUCGAACGGUGACGAUUUUGUAGCAAUACGAAUGAAAUCAUAGUGGCGAACGGGUGAGUAACGCGUUGGUGAUCUGCCUCGAAGUGUGGAAUAACUUCCCGAAAGGGUAGCUAAUACCGCAUAGUCUCUCAGGGUUUAGAAAACUGAGAGUAAAGGAUUUAUUCGCUUCGAGAGGAGCCUGCGUCCCAUCAGCUAGUUGGUAGGGUAAUAGCCUACCAAGGCAAUGACGGGUAGGGGACCUGAGAGGGUGGCCCCCCACAAUGGAACUGAAACACGGUCCAUACACCUACGGGUGGCAGCAGUAGGGAAUAUUAGAAAUGGGCGAAAGCCUGAUCUAGCAACACCGCGUGUGCGAUGAAGGCCCUUCGGGUUGUAAAGCACUUUUUGGAGGAAUAGGAAGGAAGGUACCUCCAGAAUAAGUCUCGGCUAACUACGUGCCAGCAGCCGCGGUAAUAGUCACGUC
rnacentral:rRNA from 1 species